rnacentral:lncRNA from 1 species
CAAUCACAGCUUUAAUUAAACAUAUGGUACUGAUUGUCACAUACAUAUAGUUUAUGUGUUCUAAGCAUAAUCACCAAGACAUCAUACAUCAGGUGCACCAAACAUUUUUUAUUCCAUUAACUAAUGGUCACAUACAUACACUUCAGUUGUUCCAAACAUAACCACCAAGACACCAUACAUCAGGUUCAACAAAGGACAGCGAAAAGACUGCAACUAUGAGACAUCCAUUUUAUGCAGAUCGCUGGCUUCAUGGUUCAUUGUGAGUCGAGUCCUUAUGUUUGCUUCCUACAAAAGUUAAACAAGUCUCAAUUAUUAGAAUGCUCAAUUAAUUUAUGAAAUGGAAUGCAGGCAGAAUUCACAUGUACUAUGUGCACACACAGCAGCAGAAAAUGAAGAAUACACUUGCCUAAUCUACAAAACUAGCAUUUCUGGACGUCAAGACCUCCAAUCAACUUCCAGCAAUAGCCAUGGAUGUGGCAAAGAAGCCCUCGGUCCACCUUUUGUCUAUCUAUUUGAAAGAAAACGCAUCAUUUACUUUGUAUGAUUGCUGAUCAUAAAGUCUCCGGGGAUAUACUUAAGUUACUGUACAUAGGUAUGAGAAGCCAAUAUUCCAACACUUGUUUGCAAAGAAAAUAAACAUACAACUUUAUAGAUAGUGAAUACAGUGAGUAAACAAGAUUCGGGUCUAGCCUUGUUCUUGAGCCGACUCCAGAGUGAUUUCCCCUUUUCAGGCAUGGGUCUCACCUUGACUUGUGGUAGUUUCUCCUACUCUACAGAGUUCAUUAGGAUUCACACAUUUUGAAUUAGCAAGGUGAAAGUACUAACAAGAUCAAAAAAUGUGGAGCCAAAUCCUCUAAACUCUUGCCGAUUUUUACAUGAAUUGAGUUUUGACUUUGGAGGCUUUGUAGUCAGAUUUAAAGUUUCAGGUAACAGAUGACCAAAGGCCCAAACUUCUCGAUCAAACUCCAUAGUGGAGUAAGAGAUCGAACGCUUUUGCAUAGAAGUGGCCAAGGAUCCAGAUAAUGUAUGUCAAGUUAAGUAAUCCCGUGCAAACAUUCAGAUUAGCUUCUCCUAUAACACCAUUCAUUUAAACUGAAAACUGAUUCAUUUGGGCUUCAGGAUUUUGGACCUGUUAGUUUAAUCCUCUAAUUCAAGGGUACUUUUCAAAGUUUUCAGUGCCCAAACUAACAGGUCCAGAAUUAGUGGAUUAAAGGGUACUUUUCAAAGUUCCACGGAAAGCAGUAAAAGUUGGAGCCAGCUAUAUAUUUAUGGCCAGAAACAUAUAUGCAUACAUAAAACACAUAGCAUGAGGAAAGUAUCUAUCAAGUACAUGGAAACCCUGGUCACUACCAAACAUGAAGAAACAUGAAGAAACGGGUAUAGAAGCGAUGAACAAAACAUUAACUUUGCCCUUUGGCGUAUCCAAUUAAUAGGAACAACAGUAUUAGAAACUGUAUGAGAUGUACCAUACAGCUAGUCAAAUAAUAGGUUUCUUACAUUGCUUGGGGUUGGAUGUGCACAACGUCAUUCUGUACAGAUUAAUUUUUUAGCACCACAUACUGAUCGGCUAAAAAUACUGGCACAUGGAGGUCCCAUCCCAUAACAUAGCCAAGCAUCAACAAAAAUCAGGGAAGGAAAAUAUGAUGAAACCAAAGAUAAUACCAUAGCUCCAGAUGAGGAAAAUGAGCACUCACUAAUAGAAAAUAAGAGACGUAGACCACCACCUAGGAAUCUUAUAUAUGAACUGGUUUCCAGCUUCCAAGACCAAUUAGCCAGAGUCAAGGUUUGCUUAGCCUGCAGAUAAUAAAAAAUAAACAAAAGAACCAUAAUUAGAGAGAAGACAAAAAAUAGGCAAAGAAAUAGUAGUGGGGAUAAGUGGUGGAUUUGAAGGCAUUUGUAUCUUCUCCUCGCCGGUCGCCACAAGAAAAUAGUGCUGGAUUAGAUGUGGUGUAUAUGCAUAUUCCCUGGUACACGUUGGCUCAUUUACUUCCAUGGCAAAGCAGGACAGUGUAGACCAUCAGGAGUUCAUCUUCGCCUACAACCUAGGAUAAUCCGCAGGACGGGAGUUAAAACGAGAAUAACGUAGAAGAUAUAAGAACGCAUGUGAUUACACAUUCCAAUACUAAAAGGCAGCAAGCCAUCAAUGUUGUAAACAAAUAGAUGAAACUACUUCCAAGAAACUAUAACAUCACAAUAAUAUGUUCCCCUUCUUUUAACUCCCACCAAACAUAUUGUACACAAUGUUUCCUCCAACAGCAAUAAUCCUUAUCAUGCAUGAUUUCACUUGACAUAACAAUCAAUUAAAGCCUAAGCUUUAUGCAGAAUGCAGAUAACUCACGGAAGUAAUAAACUGAAAAUCUGAAAGAAUCUAAAUAAAAAUAAAAAGGUAGUGUACAACUCAGGUGGAGAAACAAUUAACGGUGUACCGACUGCCAGCAGCCAAAAAAUAAUCGAGCGGCCCAUACUGCUGCGUCGCGACAAUGCCUCCAGAAUGGCUGGUGGCCUAGCGUGAUUUAUAAGUUCCAUGCUCCAGGAUCUAUAGCUUCCUCCAUUGCUUGAUGAUGGCUUGAAAUUUUUUAUAACUUCAUAUCUGAAACCAUCUCCUUUCUUGU